CCCUCACACACACUCUGUUCUCACACUCUGCACUGUCCAUGAAGUUACACAGCUGUGAAAGGUCUUUACUGGAGAAUUAAAAGUGGGAUCAUGAGCUCUGAAUGUGGGAUGUUAUCACUCAUCACCCUGCUGUGUAUUUCAGUCCAGCCCAGAAAAUGGCCGCCUUCAGCCUCAGCAGGUUCCAUUUUCAGAGAUGCUUCAUAUUAUUGCUGUCGAUAUCCUUCAUUGUG